GGGAAAAUCAGUGCAAAACUCUGCUCUAGCGAAGCGCUAGAAUAUUACCCGUUACUGCGUCUGUUUAAAAAUUGGUCGAGGCGUCGCUAAAAAGCUGAUCAUGGGGUCUCCAGAUUGAGAGGGUAAUCUUAAAGCAUUGGGUUUUGUUCAAAGACCGAUUGGAUCUUUAACCCCGUGAAUGAAGGACAUGAAUUCGAUGUUUAAGUUUAACUUUAGGAAAUGAAUCUUUCAUUACAACCCCACAAGAUUCGAAAAAAAUGGUUGCAACAAAUUUUGUGUAAAAAAUGGAAUUAAGUACUUUGAGUUGUACUAUGAGAGUACUCUGAGUCAAAAAUAUGUUUACAAGUCGUACAAGCUUUUCACAGAAGGUCGAGAAGAUGUGAAUAACGACGCUCGCGCAGGACGCCCCAGCACAUCAACAACCGAUGAAAAUUUUGAGAAAGUGAAGAAAAUUGUUAUGGAGAUUCGUCGAAUCACAAUUAGAGAAGUUUUUAAGG